CAACGGCCGCCGCCGAGGCUCCGCCCCGCACCUGACUGGCCUCGAGAACCCAAGGAGGCGGUGGGUUAUCUCAGCGCGGCACAAAGGAGGCACAUUGAGAAAGGGGCGGGGUUGUCAGCGACUUCAAGAGUCUCUGCAUAUUCUCCUCCAACAAACAACCAGAUAUCUAGAAAAUAAAAGGAUGCCGAAUGGAGAAAGGUCACAUUGUUCUCCCUGCCUCACAUCUGGUGACACAUCUUCUCUAGGACAGCUCAGGCUACUAAAGAAUUCUCUCUAGGUUUGUACUGGUUUCAAAAACACAACUAUUGCCUGACAGUUUGGUCAGGAUGAAAGAUAAGACAUUAAGAGAGAGGAUAUGACCCUGGGGUUUAGGACCUGGGGUUGAGGAUUGGUUAAAUGGGAUUUCUCUAUCUGGAGGUAGAAAGGUGAGGAAGAACCCCUAGUCUGGAAGGUAAAAUGAGGCUAUCACUUUUCACAUGCAAAUUAGAGGUGUCAAUGGGACAGUGGGCUUCCCUGGUGGCUCAGAUAGUAGAGAAUCUGCCUGCAAUGAAGGAGACCCAGGUUCAAUCACUGGGUCAAGAAGAUCCCCUGGAGAAGGGAAUGGCUAACCACUCCCAUUUUCUUGCCUGGAUAAUUCCAUGGACAGAGAAGCCAGGUGGGCUACAGUCCAUAAGAUCACAAAGAGUAGGACACUACUGAGCAACUAACAGCACAACAUAUCAGUGGGAAUGUCUGAUGGGCAGUCUAACAGGUUGGGUAGUAACUAAGGAGAGAGGUCAAGACCAGAGUCACAGCAUAUAGACACACAGGCCAUGUACUGCAUAAUUCUAGGGGGUGGCAUUCAUAUGGACUAGGAAGUACAUGACAACCCUGCUGCUGCUGCUAAGUCACUUCAGCUGUGUCCAACUCUGUGCGACCCCAUAGACGGCAGCCCACCAGGCUCCCCCGUCCCUGGGAUUCUCCAGGCAAGAACACUGGAGUGGGUUUCCAUUUCUUUCUCCAAUGCAUGAAGGUGAAAAGUGAAAGUGAAGUCGCUCAGUCGAGUCCGACUCUUAGCGACCCCAUGGACUGCAGCCUACCAGGCUCCUCCACCCGUGGGAUUUUCCAGGCAAGAGUACUGGAGUUGUAUAAAGCUGAAGUCUUGUUAGGGCAGGGAAUCAACACACAGCCUGUGGAGGAGAUAGAUGAAGUCAUAAUACAAUAAGACUUAAGACAUAAUAAGACAACAAACCAGGAAGAGAUCACAGAGCUAGGAUUGCACUUUGGGGGAAGCUUAAGGGCAAAGAUAAACUCUAGCUCUGUCAUUUCAAUAUAUACAAAGUAGAAAAUUGAUAGUGACCCUCUCAGGAGUGAGAGAGAACAAAAGUACAAUAAUAAUGAAAGAAGUGUUAAAUGGUAAAAAUAAUAAAGAAAAAGGAUUGUAAGCAUUAAAAGCAAAAGGGUCAAGUAACAAUUGUUU
ensembl:lncRNA